AAAGCUGGGGCUCCGACGCCGUGCCAGGGGCUGUAGCUCAUAUUGCUCUGAGCAGGACCCGGGCAUCCCUCCCACUGACCCUGGUCGUGGGCGGCCUGCCUUCUCCCCACCAGGGUCCCCAGUACCAGCAUCCCAUGGCAGGUGGGCACAGGGCCAGAGGAUCUGCCCACAGUUCUUCUCUGGCCCGAAGAAACAGCAGAGAGAUUGGAAGAAGAAGCUGGCAAAGCCACAACUGACGCAUUUGACCAUCAUGAGGAUGAUGCCCAGCUUGCGAUAGAGCAGCACUGUGGCAGGCAGCAUGAGCACGCCUGCCGCAAACAGGGCUGCAGCCCCCACGGCUGUGGCGCAGCUGGUCUGGCGCAGAGAGAAGGCCAGCGCCAAAGCCAGGCCCAGCACCACAGCAGGCUCAGUGCUCAGGCUGUGCUGCAGGCUAUACAGCUCUAGACGGCUAGUGAACCAACCACGGCGGAGGCCUGGAGGUGCCAUGCCCAGCUCCGCUGCCAGCCAGUGGCUGACCUCAUUGUAGAAGAGCUGGGUCUGGUUGUAGUCCGGACUGUUCCGGAAGUUGGUCUGGAAUUGUAGGACCAGGGCGGCCAGGCUGCCAUGGG
rnacentral:lncRNA from 1 species